AUUGAACGCUGGCGGCAUGCUUUACACAUGCAAGUCGGACGGCAGCGGGGUAGUGCUUGCACUACUGCCGGCGAGUGGCGAACGGGUGAGUAAUAUAUUGGAACGUACCGAGUAAUGGGGGGAUAACCAAUCGAAAGAUUGGCUAAUACCGCAUACGCUCUGAGGAGGAAAGCAGGGGACCUUCGGGCCUUGCGUUAUUCGAGCGGCCAAUAUCUGAUUAGCUAGUUGGUGGGGUAAAGGCCUACCAAGGCGACGAUCAGUAGCGGGUCUGAGAGGAUGAUCCGCCACACUGGGACUGAGACACGGCCCAGACUCCUACGGGAGGCAGCAGUGGGGAAUUUUGGACAAUGGGCGCAAGCCUGAUCCAGCCAUGCCGCGUGUCUGAAGAAGGCCUUCGGGUUGUAAAGGACUUUUGUUAGGGAAGAAAAAGGAGCGGUUAAUACCCGUUUCUGCUGACGGUACCUAAAGAAUAAGCACCGGCUAACUACGUGCCAGCAGCCGCGGUAAUACGUAGGGUGCGAGCGUUAAUCGGAAUUACUGGGCGUAAAGCGAGCGCAGACGGUUACUUAAGCAGGAUGUGAAAUCCCCGGGCUCAACCUGGGAACUGCGUUCUGAACUGGGUAGCUAGAGUAUGUCAGAGGGGGGUAGAAUUCCACGUGUAGCAGUGAAAUGCGUAGAGAUGUGGAGGAAUACCGAUGGCGAAGGCAGCCCCCUGGGAUAAUACUGACGUUCAUGCUCGAAAGCGUGGGUAGCAAACAGG
rnacentral:rRNA from 1 species